rnacentral:tRNA from 1 species
GAAGGUAUAGCUCAGUGGCAGAGUGUGUGCUUAGCAUGCUAUGGGGUCCUGGGUUCAAUCCCCAGUACUACCA